rnacentral:rRNA from 1 species
UACGUAGGGGGCAAGCGUUGUCCGGAAUCAUUGGGCGUAAAGAGCGCGUAGGCGGCCCUGUAAGUCCGCUGUGAAAGUCAAGGGCUCAACCCUUGGAUGCCGGUGGAUACUGCAGGGCUAGAGUCCGGAAGAGGCGAGUGGAAUUCCUGGUGUAGCGGUGAAAUGCGCAGAUAUCAGGAGGAGCACCGAUGGCGAAGGCAGCUCGCUGGGACGGUACUGACGCUGAGGCGCGAAAGCGUGGGGAGCAAACAGG